ensembl:lncRNA
CUCGGGGAGAAUUAAAACAUUUGAAAUCCAGCCGAUAUUUUCAGUUGUUAAUUACUUUUGAAUCCACAUGGUGGUACAACUAUUAACUAGGAAUUAAAUGAAACUACUCUGUUGGCAAAAGUACAAUACAAAAAUAGGCGUAGUAGGGACAUUGUACUUGGUACUGAAAGGUCAACCUUGAUAAAACCUUUCAUGACUGGACCGAAACUGGAAGAUAACCUUCACCUUGCUGCCACAAUAUAGAGCGAAGAAAAACCAGGGGAAAUAUUAGUAUUCGUUUUUCACAUCAAUUAAAUUUGAACAAACUAGAUUCAAUAUUGUAUUUCCUCUUCCUAUAUCUUUUAAAUCAAAGACAUUUUUAUGGCACUUAGUUAGUUAUAUACUUAAAAUGCUCUUCCCAUGUUCAUGUACUGCCUUAACCAUGUAUUUACAGGAAGCAUUGAGACUGUGACACCAGGAAGCAGACGUUACAGUGCUGAUGAUAACCCAUGACCCAGACAUGAUCCAACAGUUACCCUGACGUCUUUAGAAUACCUCACAGGCUGGGUUUACACAGACAGCCUAAAUCUGAUCUUUUCCCAAUAGAUAGCCUUCUGACCAGUCAGAGCAAAUAUUUAGCCAGUAAUUGGGUAAAAGGUUAGAACUGAACAGACAGUGUAAAGAUACAGUAGUCUUAGUAGUAUUAUAUAGACAGCCUGGACCAGGCCCAGACACGGAUCAGUCUGUGUAGAUUGGGUCAGCCAUCUCAGGAUAACUGGUCAUGUGAUCAUGUUUGUCCAUACAUGUCAUGGACCUGUUAUCGCCUUUUGCCAGUAAGUAUGGGAAUCAUAUCCUACUUCCUGCCUGACAGCAUCAGUUAUAUUCCACUUAAGAAUUCAGUGAAAGGCGGGAGAAAGUGAAGAGAGAGGAAGAGAGACAG